rnacentral:rRNA from 1 species
AAAUCCGGUUGAUCCUGCCGGAGGCUACCGCUAUUGGAGUCCGAUUAAGACAUGCGAGUCGAGAGCUUUCGGAGCUCGGCAUACUGCUCAGUAACACGUGGGUAACCUGCCCUGUGCUGGGGGAUAACCUCGGGAAACUGAGAACAAUACCCCAUAGUCCACUACGCCUGGAACGGUGAGUGGAUGAAAGCCCCGGCGGCACAGGAUGGGCCUGCGGCGUAUCAGGUAGUAGGGGGUGUAAAGUACCCUCUAGCCUUCGACGCGUACGGGUUGUGAGAGCAAUAGCCCGGAGAUGGAUUCUGAGACACGAAUCCAGGUCCUACGGGACGCAGCAGUCGCGAAACCUUGACAAUGCGGGAAACCGUGAUCAGGGGACUCCAAGUGCCAGGAGUAAGAUCCUGUGCUUUUCUUCUCUCUUCAAAGGAUUAGGAAUAAGAGGUGGGUAAGGACGGUGCCAGCCGCCGCGGUAAUACCGGCGCCUCGAGUGGUAGUCGAUUUUAUUGGGCCUAAAACGUCCGUCGCCGGUCUGGUGCAUUCGUGGGUAAAUCAACCCGCUCAACGGGUUGAAUUCUGCGAGCACGGCCAGACUAGGGACCGGGAGAGGUGUGGGGUACGCUCGGGGUAGGGGUAAAAUCCUGUCAUCCCGAGCGGACCACCUGUUGCGAAGGCGCCACACUAGAACGGAUCCGACGGUCAGGGACGAAGCCUAGGGGCACGAACCGGAUUAGAUACCCGGGUAGUCCUAGGUGUAAACGCUGUGGACUUGGUGUUGGGAGCUCCCAGAGGGCUCUCAGUGCCGUAGCGAAGGUGAUAAGUCCACUGCCUGGGGAGUACGGUCGCAAGGCUGAAACUUAAAGGAAUUGGCGGGGGAACACCGCAACCUGAGGAUUGUGCGGUUUAAUUGGAUUCAACGCCGGAAAACUCACCAGUGCCGACGG